GCGACCCCAGGAUGGGCGAGGCCACCCUCCGAGUUUAAG
rnacentral:rRNA from 2 species